UGAAAGGUGUCCCUGCCCAUGGCAGGGGUGGGAUGAGAUGAGCUUUAUGCUCCCUUUCAACCCAAACCUCUCCGUGAUUCUAUGUAACCAAUGUUGCUUAUUUUUGCAGAACAAGUUUACAAAGCUGCUCAGCUUGUGCCUUAACAUUUUCCCUGACCUCGAGACUACUUAAACUUCUCAUAAGGAUGCCUCCCAGACCCAAGACGGCACCAGUGCCAACUCGGGCUGCUUUGACAGUGCCAAGUGCCUCCUGCAAAGUGACAUCAGGAACCUGGAAUAGCUGGCUUCAAAGGCAACUCCUGCCCCUACAGGGAAAACUGAGAAAAUCCAGCUGGGAAUGAGACUCGUGCCCUCCCCGGGUGCCAGCACAACAGGAGCACAGAAUCCCCAAACCCUUUUUUUGGCAAUGGCAGCUCCCAAAAUCCCAUGAGGUGAAGGACAAAUAGAGGGCAUGAUAUGAAAAAGCCUCCAGGAUGGGAUCCUGGGAUUGAGCAGGAAGGAGACCUGCCACCGGUGACUGCAGCAUCUCUGGGCUCAGCAGAAAACCACACAGAGCUUCAUUGGGAGCCUCCAGGUACCCUUUGGCUCCUGCCCCUUGAGCACCAUGGAGGUGACACAGUCUGGAGCUCAGGCACAGGGGGACAGCCAGGUUUUCCUGGGUCUCCAAAGGAGGUGACUUCAAGAUGAUCUGGAAGCAUCAUCUUGUUUGUCAACUUGACAUCAGGUUAAGGGGGGACAUUUCCUCCUGUUCUGCACUGGGGAGGCCACAGCUGUGCACUGGGACCAGUUUGGGGCUCCAAGGCAUCUCCAAAGCAAAGUGAGCCUGGGGACACCCUGGCAGGGGUGGAUGGCAGCCAAGGAAAGCAAGGAGAGGCUGUGGGAGCCAGGUUUCCAGAGGAGGAGGAGGCAAAGGGGGAUGCAGUGACC